UACGGAGGGCGCAAGCGUUGUUCGGAAUCACUGGGCGUAAAGCGCGUGUAGGCGGCCGGGCAAGUCGGAUGUGAAAUCCCGAGGCUCAACCUCGGAACUGCCUUUGAUACUGGCGACCUGGAGUCCGGGAGAGGUGAGUGGAACUCCUAGUGUAGAGGUGAAAUUCGUAGAUAUUAGGAAGAACACCAGUGGCGAAGGCGGCUCACUGGCCCGGUACUGACGCUGAUGCGCGAAAGCGUGGGGAGCA
rnacentral:rRNA from 1 species